rnacentral:rRNA from 1 species
AACGAACGCUGGCGGCAUGCCUAACACAUGCAAGUCGAACGAGACCUUCGGGUCUAGUGGCUCAUGGGUGCGUAACGCGUGGGACCCUGCCCGUAGGUUUGGAAUAACUCCCCGACAGGGGUGCUAAUACCGGAUAAUGUCUUCUGACAAAAGAUAUAUCGUCUUUGGAUGGGCCCGCGUUCGUUUAGCUGGUUGGUAGGGUAAAAGCCUACCAAGGCGACGAUCCUUAGCUGGUCUGAGAGGAUGAUCAGCCACACUGGGACUGGGACACGGCCCGGACUACUGCGGGAGGGAGCAGUGGGGAAUAUUGGACAAUGGGCGAAAGCAUGAUGCAGCAAUGCCGCGUGAGUGAUGAAGGCGUUAGGGUUGUAAAGCUCUUUUACCCGGGAUGAUAAUGACAGUACCGGAAGAAUAAGCACCGGCUAACUCCGUG